UACGGGGGGGGGUAAGCGUUGUUCGGAAUUACUGGGCGUAAAGGGCUCGUAGGCGGCCAACUAAGUCAGACGUGAAAUCCCUCAGCUUAACUGGGGAACUGCGUCUGAUACUGGAUGGCUUGGAUUCGGGAGAGGAAUGCGGAAUUCCAGGUGUAGCGGUGAAAUGCGUAGAUAUCUGGAGGAACACCGGUGGCGAAGGCGGCAUUCUGGACCGAUAUUGACGCUGAGGAGCGAAAGCGUGGGGAGCGAACAGG
rnacentral:rRNA from 1 species